AUUGAACGCUGGCGGCAUGCUUUACACAUGCAAGUCGAACGGCAGCACGGGGGCAACCCUGGUGGCGAGUGGCGAACGGGUGAGUAAUGCAUCGGAACGUAUCUUUAAGUGGGGGAUAACGCAUCGAAAGAUGCGCUAAUACCGCAUAAUCUCUGAGGAGAAAAGCAGGGGAUCGCAAGACCCUUGCGCUUUUGGAGCGGCCGAUGUCUGAUUAGCAGGUUGGUGGGGUAAAGGCUUACCAAGGCUUCGAUCAGUAGCUGGUCUGAGAGGACGACCAGCC
rnacentral:rRNA from 1 species